GGGAAACUCAGAACCCCGUGGGGGUUGGGGACAAGGCCACUUCGGACCCCCAUUCUGGGAACCCUAGCAUUCUUUUUUCUCAAGAAAGAGGAAGGGUUCCAGCAUUCCCCAUCACACUAAAUGGGAACUCCAGCUGACUUUCAAGUUUCAUUUCAGCACGUUGGAGAGAGGAGUCAGCCUGAAGCACGUUCAAAAGUACUCCCUGAACGGAAUUUAAAGGCACCACAAUGCAGAGCACCGGAGCGAGCGAGCCCGUACCAAGGACAUAAAAUAGCGUGAUGUCACCGAAGACUGCCGGACUUGCUCUGGGGCCGACACCUGGUGCUGCUACAGGCUACACUCACUUGACUGAGAUCCCUCCCUGCUGACGAAAAGCCCUGAAUUUGGAUGGGCCUGGGAGGAAGAGGACUGGGAAAAAAUAAUGGCUGCUAAAGGGCUUCAGGGGGCUGAAAAAGCCAACUGUGGUUAAUGUCCCCAAAGGAAACAGUUUUUGUCUUCAUCAGUCUCUCUCUCCAAGCACAAGAUCUCUCCUCCUCCCGGCCCUCCGGAGGUUCCCUUCAUCUGCUUCCAAGGCGUCCUAUAUGGACUCUUCUUGGGCAAUUACUUCUUUGAGCUCACCGUAGAGCACACUAGACUUGAGUUAGGAGGACCCGAGUUUGAAUCCUGCCUCUUUUAGAUGUGUGAACCCAGGUAGGCCACAUAGCCUGUCUCGGUGUGCUCCGUUUGAAAAUCAAAUAUUGCUGAAAUGCUUUGUAAAUUGUCAAGGGCUCUCCAAACCAGAAGUGCUUCAGCGUUUCCUCUUUUAUC